GCACCCGCGACUGGUCGAACACCAGUGAUCCAUCGGUUCUACCCAUAUUAUCAGGCACAUGAAUCUCUCUCUACCAUACAAUCUCGACCUGUUACUUCUUCCUCUGACGAAUUUUCAUUCAUAUCCUGACCGAGCCUCCUGAAUGAAACAUGUAAAAUACACGUCACGUGGAGACAUCUUUGCACGAUUUACCUACAAUCGAUAAAACACGUGUUACAUAUAACAUGAUUGUAAAUCGAAGCACUGUAUACAGUGCCAUCUAUAAAUAAUAUACAGAUCGGAACAUGGUAUUUUAUGCGUUUCAACGAGAGGAGUUAAGUUAAGCAACGCCACGCGUGCCAACCGUCAUCAAUCGAAACGUCCGAUUCAUUCACGUAAAUGGAGAUGAAACGUUGGUUGUACUUGUUGUACUCUGAUCCUGGAAUAUCGUAUUCUCGGAUGAAAAAUGAUUCGCCUCGCGUGAGAGCGAUUAACUAAAAACGUAAAACGGCUGCGACACGAAGAAAUUGCUCAAGGUUCUGGGAACGCGAAAGAAAACGAAGAAACGUGGCUGGUGUUACGGAAGCUUAAUCGUUCAAGGACGAUCCUGGCCUUUCAAUAUUUACGCUUAGUCGCGGCUUAAGGACAAAUCUAAGGUAUCGAGCAACGACAACGUUUAAACUCGGAUCGUGUUCAGGGAAAGAGAGUGGAAAGAACGGCGGCGGGGGAGGGGAAGGCUGAUCGAGUCGCCUAUACUCUCUUGGCAUUCGAAACGCGUUACUUUCAUUUCUAACAAGUAGCCAUUCAAGGGCCACGCACUGAUUGUGAGACGUUGGCAGUCACACGCGUGUCCAUGUGCGUACAGGAGAGAGAUAUGGUUGAUCGAUGGCUCUUUCCUUUCCCGAGAUCCCCAUCUCGAGGAUCCAACCGUGCAAAAAGGAAAAGAAGAAGAAGAAAAAAAAA